rnacentral:rRNA from 1 species
GACGAACGCUGGCGGCGUGCUUAACACAUGCAAGUCGAACGGAAAGGCCCUGCUUUUGUGGGGUGCUCGAGUGGCGAACGGGUGAGUAACACGUGAGUAACCUGCCCUUGACUUUGGGAUAACUUCAGGAAACUGGGGCUAAUACCGGAUAGGAGCUCCUGCUGCAUGGUGGGGGUUGGAAAGUUUCGGCGGUUGGGGAUGGACUCGCGGCUUAUCAGCUUGUUGGUGGGGUAGUGGCUUACCAAGGGUUUGACGGGUAGCCGGCAUGAGAGGGUGACCGGCGACAUGGGGACUAAGGUACGGACCAGAAUCGUACGGGAGGCAGUGGUGGGGAAUAUUGCACAGUGGGCGGAAGCGUGAUACAGCAGCGCCGCGUGCGGGAUGACGGGCUUCGGGUGGUAAACCGCUUUCGCCGUUGACGAGGAGGGAGUGACGGUAAUGGGUAAAGAAGCACCGGCUAACUACGUG